AUUACUUUAAUUUGAUAAUUUUGUAAGCCAUAAAUAUAUUUAAAUAUGGAUUUUAUUGACUAAUUUAUCCAGUUUAAGAUAUUAAAUAAUAUAAGAAAUUAUAUUUUAGAUAAUUUAUUAACUUAGGUUUAUUAGGUGCCAGCAACCGCGGUCAAACCUAAUAAGUUAGUUUAUGAGGAACAGUAAAUAUAACAAAUUUCUUAAAAGUAAUAUAAUAAUUGGUGAAAUAUUAUUAUGAUAUUAAAUUUAUGUAAGUAAUUAAUAUACCAAACUCUCGAAUAAAACUAGGAUUAGAGACCCUACUAUUAUGAGUUCAACUAAAUAUUUACUAAGGAGUAAAACUAUAUAGUUUAAACUUAAAAAUUAUGGCGGCCAAAUAAACCACUUAGGGGAACUUACCAUAUAAUUGAUAGCCACCAAGUACAAUUAUACUCACUUUAUUAAAAUUUGUAUACCGUUGUCUAAUGAAUCCUUCAAAGGGGCUCAAAAAUAUUAUCUAAAUAUAAAGACAAAUCAAGGUGCAGUCUAUUAGUGAGAAUUAAGGUGAGUUACAAUAAUAAAUGUUUCUCGAAUUUUUAAUGAAAUAAGUUAUGAAGAUGGACUUAAAAGUAAUAUCUAAGAAUAAAUAUAAUAUGAAUUAGGUUUUAUAUGGUGUA
rnacentral:rRNA from 1 species